rnacentral:rRNA from 1 species
AUACGUAGGGUGCAAGCGUUAAUCGGAAUUACUGGGCGUAAAGCGUGCGCAGGCGGUUUUGUAAGACAGUGGUGAAAUCCCCGGGCUCAACCUGGGAACUGCCAUUGUGACUGCAAGGCUGGAGUGGGGCAGCGGGGGAAGGAAUUCCGCGUGUAGCAGUGAAAUGCGUAGAUAUGCGGAGGAACACCGAUGGCGAAGGCAAUCCCCUGGGCCUGCACUGACGCUCAUGCACGAAAGCGUGGGGAGCAAACAGGAUUAGAUACCCUGGUAGUCCACGCCCUAAACGAUGUCAACUGGUUGUUGGGGAUUUACUUUCUCAGUAACGAAGCUAACGCGUGAAGUUGACCGCCUGGGGAGUACGGCCGCAAGGUUAAAACUCAAAGGAAUUGGCGGGG